rnacentral:rRNA from 1 species
CCUACGGGAGGCAGCAGUGAGGAAUAUUGGUCAAUGGUCGGGAGACUGAACCAGCCAAGCCGCGUGAGGGAGGACGGUACUGAGUAUUGUAAACCUCUUUUGUCAGGGAACAAAGACUGGGACGCGUCCCCGGAUGAGUGUACCUGAAGAAAAAGCAUCGGCUAACUCCGUGCCAGCAGCCGCGGUAAUACGGAGGAUGCGAGCGUUAUCCGGAUUUUUUGGGUUUAAAGGGUGCGCAGGCGGGCUGUUAAGUCAGCGGUGAAAGCCUGGGGCUCAACCCCGGACCUGCCGUUGAAACUGGCAGUCUCGAGUUGGUGAGAGGUAUGCGGAAUGCGCGGUGUAGCGGUGAAAUGCAUAGAUAUCGCGAAGAACUCCGAUUGCGAAGGCAGCAUGCCGGCUCCACACUGACGCUGAGGCACGAAAGCGUGGGUAUCGAACAGGAUUAGAUACCCUUGUAGUC